rnacentral:lncRNA from 1 species
GGCUGACAACGCUGAGCACCGGGUACGCUGGAGCUGGUGCAAAUUUUGCAUAAAGAGUUCAUUUUGGGUUAUUCAAAAAAGAAGGCAUUGGUGCAGAUCCUCGUCUACAAAUUCAGGAGCGAGAAGUCGAGAUCCCUUCAGAACCUGCUAGGAGGUGGCUCUGCAGGUCCAUUGGCCAAGCUCUACGGGAAGUUCACUUGCGACCCUGUCAGACACAGGGAGAACCAGUAACUGCUCAGGCUUUUCCUCUGACACACCAACGAUUCAACGCAGCCGUGAAACUAUGCAAAGGCACAGCCCAAGCUUUCACCAAGGCAGCAGCCCCACCGGGGCCAUUUCUUCCUGCUGCAGACCCUGUGGCCUCCACCACUACUCCUGGCUGUCUGAUUCAUCAUUUAACUAUUCUACCUCCUCGCAGACAUUCAGGAAGGACUAGCUGGUGAGUAACUCAGCAGGACAGGGGGAAAGAACUGAUUCAAGAU